rnacentral:misc_RNA from 1 species
UACGAGAGGCCCAAACGUUAUUCGGAUUUACUGGGCUUAAAGAGUCCGUAGGCGGCGCAGAAAGUGGGGUGUGAAAUCCCUCGGCUCAACCGAGGAAUUGCGCUCCAAACUACUGUGCUUGAGGAACCUAGAGGUGAGCGGAACUGAUGGUGGAGCGGUGAAAUGCGUUGAUAUCAUCAGGAACACCGGAGGCGAAGGCGGCUCACUGGGGGUUUUCUGACGCUGAGGGACGAAAGCCAGGGGAGCAAACGGG